CGGAAACUGAUUUUCAGACAUGAAAGGAAACCGUGCUGAGAGAAGUGACAUGGAGCCUGAGGAAGUUCACCUGGGGGCCCGAGCAGUGAAAGCCGCUGGCGAUGAGAGGAUGAGCGCUUUUCUAUGUCGCACCAGGUGUCCCUCGGGAUGGUUCCCUGGAAUUGCCACCGCGGGGAGCAUCGCUAAAUUACAUCAAGGGACUCAGCGCAGCGGGUUCGUGGGGAGUGGCCUGAGGAGGAGCUUGACGAGUGCAAAGAUCCCACUCUACACGCUCUUGCUACCACGCUCUCCCUCCCGGAUGGUUAAAUACUGUAGAAAAGUCCCUGUCCAGCUUCAGAAUGGAUCCGGGAGCCUGAUUUCCUUGCCAGCAACAUAGAACGCAUCACACAGUAGAACUGAAGGUCCUGACACCUCUCUUCCGACGCCUGUUAUUUCCUGCCAGCUGCCUCCUUCAGGACAUGGGCUGCUUUGGGCAGCAAAUAGCCACUCUGCAGCAAAGGGAAAAGAGUCCUGUUGUUUGCUGGCCCUUUAACAACAGGACAGUCGUAAGUAUGUUAUCUUUCUCUCCCACAAAAGUAAGGCAGAAGGCCAAGAUCCUGGGCUCCAGCCCUUGGUCUCCUGGUUCACUCCAGGGUCAUAGCAAUGAGUGACAGGGCAGAGCUGCGUGCCCCGUGCCCACAAUCCCUAUUGGGCUGUCUGGGCAGAGAUCCCCACGACUGAACCUGGUUGCCCGCUGGACACAGGAUUAGAGCUGAGAACAAACUGCCUAUCCACCUGCCUGGCAAACUGCUUCCCAGAGGACCCCGGCCAGUCUUUCAGCAGGGCACCCCUGGAGGUUUCAUUUCCACGUGCACUACACUCAUUUGUCCACUCUCAGGGGUGCAAGAAGGUGGGAAACAGCCAGGUACUUAUGACAAGGUUCCAGCACCUGGAAAUAGGUCUUUGUGAUACAAACCCAGUGGAAGCAAUUUUCAAAACACCCCAAGGCUCCAAAGGCAGCUUGCAGUACAAUCUUUAUAAUACAUAAUAUUAGUAUAAAUAGGCCCAGAUACAUGGGAGUAGGAAAAAUGAAAU
rnacentral:lncRNA from 1 species